rnacentral:rRNA from 1 species
ACUACCCUGGCGGCAUGCUUACACAUGCAAGUCGAACGGUACAGGAGCUUGCUCCGCUGACGAGUGGCGAACGGGUGAGUAAUGCGUCGGAACGUGCCGAGUAGUGGGGGAUAACUAUCCGAAAGGAUAGCUAAUACCGCAUACGCUUUGAGAAGGAAAGCAGGGGAUCGUAAGACCUUGCGCUAUUCGAGCGGCCGACGUCUGAUUAGCUAGUUGGUGAGGUAAAGGCUCACCAAGGCAUCGAUCAGUAGCGGGUCUGAGAGGAUGAUCCGCCACACUGGGACUGAGACACGGCCCAGACUCCUACGGGAGGCAGCAGUGGGGAAUUUUGGACAAUGGGCGCAAGCCUGAUCCAGCCAUGCCGCGUGUCUGAAGAAGGCCUUCGGGUUGUAAAGGACUUUUGUCAGGGAGGAAAUCCCUAGCGCUAAUAUCGCUGGGGGAUGACAGUACCUGAAGAAUAAGCACCGGCUAACUACGUGCCAGCAGCCGCGGUAAUACGUAGGGUGCAAGCGUUAAUCGGAAUUACUGGGCGUAAAGCGUGCGCAGGCGGUUGUGUAAGUCUGAUGUGAAAGCCCCGGGCUCAACCUGGGAACUGCAUUGGAGACUGCACAGCUAGAGUGCGUCAGAGGGGGGUAGAAUUCCGCGUGUAGCAGUGAAAUGCGUAGAGAUGCGGAGGAAUACCGAUGGCGAAGG